GGCGUGCAAGUACCUGCGCGGCAGUGCGCCCCCGACUGCGUGCUCACCCCCUACUUCCCGGCAUCGCAACCCUCACCGCUACGCCGUCGUCCACCUGGCCUUUGGCGCCAACAAAGUCGCGAGGUUGCUCGAGGAUCGAGGUACAGCUUGCCGGUGGAUGAGAGAGCUCAGGCGGCGGAGACAAUGGCAAUGGAGGCGUGGUGGCUGGUGGAGGACCCGGUGUACGUAUGCGACGGGAUCAUCAGCCAGCUGCAAGAGGAGAUUCAGCCUACGCAGUGCAAGCUCACCAUGACGCGGGCGCAGCUAGCCAUCGUCCCCGUGCACGGUGCA
rnacentral:rRNA from 1 species